rnacentral:rRNA from 1 species
GAGUAACACGUGACUACCUACCCUCGAGUGGGGGAUAACCCCGGGAAACCGGGGCUAAUACCGCAUAACAUCGCAAGAUCAAAGGAGCAAUUCGCUUGAGGAGGGGGUCGCGGCUGAUUAGCUAGUUGGUGGGGUAACGGCCCACCAAGGCGAUGAUCGGUAGCCGGCCUGAGAGGGCGCACGGCCACACUGGAACUGAAACACGGUCCAGACUCCUACGGGAGGCAGCAGUGGGGAAUUUUGCGCAAUGGGGGAAACCCUGACGCAGCAACGCCGCGUGGAGGAUGAAGUCCCUUGGGACGUAAACUCCUUUCGACCCGGACGAUAAUGACGGUACGGGUGGAAGAAGCACCGGCUAACUUCGUGCCAGCAGCCGCGGUAAUACGAGGGGUGCGAGCGUUGUUUUGAAUAUUUGGGGCGUAAAGGGCGCGUAGGCGGCGCGGUAAGUCACCUGUGAAAUCUCCCGGCUCAACUGGGAGCUUGCAGGCAAAUCUGCCGUGCUCGAGUGUGAAAAAGUGCGUGAAUCCCCGUUGACGAUGAAUGC